GACGUAGGGCGCGAGCGUUGUCCGGAUUUAUUGGGCGUAAAGAGCUCGUAGGCGGCUUGUCGCGUCGUCCGUGAAACCCACAGCUCAACUGUGGCUUGCGGUCGAUACGGGCAGGCUAGAGUUCGGUAGGGGAGACUGGAAUUCCUGGUGUAGCGGUGAAAUGCGUAGAGAUCAGGAGGAACACCUGUGGUGUAGACAGCUUACUGGACGAUAACUGGACGCUGAGCUGGCGAAAGCUAGGGGAGCAAACAGG
rnacentral:rRNA from 1 species